UUUUAUGGUGGUCAUGCGUGGGGCUCCUUUGUGAGCGCCGGGUUCCUACUACAGCCGGUCUACCAACCCACGUAUGGCCGCCACCCAU
rnacentral:antisense_RNA from 1 species